UUUCUUGCGUUCUUCAUUGCCAGUGUUGGGGAUCGGGAGCGCUAGCUGUGUUCUCCCAUUUCCUCUUUCUUCCAGAAGAUUCAUCCAGGCCAUAUAAGCCCACAUUGUCUCUCCCUUUCUUGCGUUGCGAGGAAAGGGCUGGUGCUUUGUCAAUGUUGCAUUAGUUCGCCACAAGAGGAACCUCCGAUCAUGGCAAUGAGGAACAGAGGCGGGAGGCAAAUAAUCCGGAUUCUUUGCCUCCCCCAUUGUUCCUCACUCCCAGCCUUGGACUGCUCCUUGGUCUUGGUCGAAUUUCUUCUCCUUCUCACUAGGCGCAUCCCAGCGCGCAAGACUCAAUCGCCAAAGCCCCUGUUCUUGGGCUCAUGUGAGAUUGGCUGAUCAAAAACGAGAAGCGUCGAGUGUGUAAGCUCUUUUUCUUGUUUUCAAUCCGAUGUUUGCCUUUUU
rnacentral:lncRNA from 1 species